AGCUGUCAGCCAUGGAAUUCUGGUCAGAUUACAGUCCUGACAAUCUGACUUUCUCCUCAGAGAUCAAAGUAAAUAACAGGCUUUCUAUGACUAGCUGGCUUUCCAAGUCCUGUACACCUAAAUGAAGCUAUUUGCCACUCCCAGAAAAUUCCCCCGACAAGGCUUGAUCCUUGCCUCUCCUCAGUUCCUGCCCUUACCCUGAUUCCAUCGUCACUUACCAGUCCUGGCUCUGACGCUCAGCUUCAACUCCUGACUCUGACUCUGGCUUGACCCCUGAUUCUGGUAACUGGCAGGUGACUCUGGUGCUGAUCUUUGGCUUUGCUCCCCAACCUGGACACCUGCUCUGCCCACGGGACGUGACUGCCUGGGUCCCUCUCCACAACGGAAUCUGUUGGAGUCACACAUUCCAAGGAGCCUGCCUCAUCCAGUGCCUAGGAUGGAGAGUGUUGCCUGAUAGUUGCAGUGAAGCAUUUGGUCAGCUUGAGAAAGGACUAUUCUCAGUAAGUGCACAAUCCAGAAACACUUAAACUGACAAUGAACUUUGGGAGACGCCAAUCCACAUCUGAGCUUUCCUGGAAACAUUCAAACUAACAUGUAAACAAAGGCAUCGGCCUGCAAAAAGCGGAAUC